UCGUCAUCCCACCUAAACCUGAGUUUGUUUGUAUCAAUAAACCAUAAAAAUAGGCUUUCUUUGCAUGCAGCACUGUGUCGGGUUGCGGUGAAUCGAAUCCUUGCGUUACGCUCUAUUACUGCAAACCGGUAAAUCACCCAGUCGAGUGGGACCUUGGCGGCCAGCUCGGACCUGUUCCAGAGCCGUUCCGACCGGGAUCGGAACGGUUAGUUUAAAUUUUGUGUGUGAAAAGAUUCCUCCAUUUUUGAACCGACCUGAAAAGUGUGUUUCGUCGUGUGGUUGUUGUUUGGAAAAGUGCGCGCUCCGGGAAAAAUAAAACCGAGAAGGAAACUCGCGUGAAACACGCGCUUUUUCGUUCCGAUUUGGGAGUUUUGCGCCGAGAAGUUCGUAGAUUUUCAUGCAAUGAUAGCGGAAAUAUUGUUUCUCGUUGGUUUAGCUCAAAACUGGCUCAUGGCGGAACUUGCCGUUCGCUCAUUCAAAUGUUGUUGUUAAUUAAAAAGUUUUACGAUUCAUCGUUGAAAAACAUCGCCCGGUCCAAGGCAGCACGUGCCGCAAACAACUGAUACUGGCACUCUGUUUUCGUUCGUUUCAAACCCCGAAAAUUCCACCGGAUUCAAUUUUCCGGGUUUCCAUAACGAUUCAACAAUCCAACCGACCGAAAACAACCCGAACGUCGCAAUGAACCGUUCCCGUUCGGUUCCACCGGGUGGCAGCGGCACUGGCGGCGGCGGCGGUGGCUGCCCCCAAGCGCAACAAUCCGUUGCCAAAUUGGCAUUCGGUGGCGCAGCUGGAAAAGGUGGCCUAGCGACGGUCCUAAACACCCGCGGCGGAGCAAUGAUAAUGAAGAGUGUUAGCAUUUUUCUGGCCAGUGGCAGACGAGCCUCCGCCGUGCCAAGAGAUCGUGCAAGCAAAUCGGGUGACCGGGCGCAAUCGUCGGAUCGGGGACGGGGACAGCAGCAGCAGUUACAACAGCAAGGUGGACGACGAGAUUCUCGUCGCAAUCGGAAGAUACUGGCCAAGAUGGACGAGCUCAACGGGAAGCUCAACCCGAAGAUGCUGGAGAUGUACAAGCGGAGGACACAUUUUUCCAAGAUCGAGGUGGAAGCACUGUGCAAGAUCUUCCGCAAGCUGGUAACGAACGCCUCGCUGAAUUCGAAAGCCCUGGCGGCCAACAACGCUGGGGUGAUUGCCAAGGCCGGUUCUUCAACCGACGGCAUAGACCGGUCGGUGUUUCGCGAGUUGCUGCACAGCACGUUCGACAUUGUGACGGAGGAAACGCUGAUGGAGCGGAUUUUUUGCGCCUGGGAAAAGGGUUACGAAGGACUGCCCAUUCGGCUGGAGGGCUGGAUCCUGGGAUUGUCGACCUUCCUGAAGGGCACCCAGGCGGAGAAGACGGCGUUCUGUUUUAGAGUGUACGACUUGAACAGUGACGGGUACAUUACCAAGGACGAAAUGUUUGCGCUUUUGAGGAAUUGUUUGAUUAAGCAGCCGCAGGACGAGGAUCCGGACGAGGGCGUGAAGGAUCUGGUGGAGAUCGCACUGAGGAAGCUGGAUAUGGAUAAGGAUGGGAAGGUCUCCUUCCAGGACUACCAGGAAGCGAUUGCCGAGGAACCGUUACUGUUGGAAGCAUUUGGGCAGUGUUUGCCAUCGGAUCGUUCUACCGUGUCGUUUUUGUCGACCUUGCAAGCCAAACGCCAUCAAUAGCCGCGGGGACGCUGAUCGAUUUCGGCUCCUUCCUGCUGUGGUAGAACGUAACCGUGGAAGCCAAGAAGAGUCAACCUAAGUCACCCAAUGCAUAACUUCCUGCACCCCUCGCGCGUGGUCCCCAUAGCAUGGUACAUCACCACCACCGCUUCGAUGGCGGUGCUACAGUGGUGCGUUUUUGAUUCAAGCUUCAAUAAUGGUAAGAAGGACACCCCUCAACGAGCCGAUGACCUCCAGUACCCAGACCAGAAGAAGCAUGCAGCACCCCCGGUCACUGAAGAAGCGAGCACCUACGUCGUAUUGACGAUUGGUAGUAGGUACACCAGUGCUAGCACAAAAACUGACGACUUGAAUGGGGACUGACUGGGGAGACAUCGAACUGCGCGAGGAACCAACCAGCACCAGCAACCUAAAUGGGAGACUCUUUUUUGUGGCGAGUGCGUCCGGUGUGUGGUAGGUGAAGAGAUUGAUAGAGUAGGUUAAUCGACGUUUCGAACAUUCUGGAGUAAUUUAGAGAAUGAUAGGUGAAAAUUGUAGAUGACCGGCUUGUUGCGUAUCGUGAAUUUGCAAAUCUAGUUGAAGCUGCAAAGUGUGAUAGUUGCUCUAUGAAUUUAGUAAAAACUUGAAUAAUAAUAUUUUAAAACAUGUUGAUUGAAAUAAAAAUGAAUCAUUAUUUGAAGCCGUUUUGCUUUGAGAUACCUCAUGCCAGUCUAGUCGUUUGAUUCAACCAGCUUAUAGACAGCUGUACAACAGCGCUCCUUAGAAACAAAUGCUCUUAUCAAAUUAACAUCGUCUACCAUUUUCAUAAACAAUGUUUCAUCAUCAACCCGAUAAACUCAUCACCGCGAUGAAUUAAUAAUCACCAUUUCCCACGACGAUACAUGCUCAAUUACACAUCGAUCCUCCCUCCGAAACACGUGCUCAGUAAUUAUGCAUUAGCCAGCCAGCCGAUUAGUUCUAAGCGCCAUUUCCCACAUCCACUGCAUGCUUGACUACAGUGUAGCGGCGUUGUUCUGUUCUUCUUCGCUCAAGGUCCUACCACCCAUCAUAGGUCUCGCAUGAACCGGCUUGA